ACAAGAUAGUUAAUUGUUGAAUUUUUUUUUUCAUUAACCUGCAUUAAUACGAAACUAAAAGUUAAUUUCCUGACUUUACAUAAAAAAUUGUGUCCGACACGAUUUGAGAACUUUGAGAACUUGAGCUGUUGGAGACCAAAAAAAUUAUGUAUUGAAACAUUCUUGACUGUGAUUUGGAUUACACAUUUUCAUGCCCUGAUUUUAGAAUGUAAGAUGAAAUGGUGUAAACGGAUAAUGACAUUUCCAAACAGGAGAAAAAGUGUUAUUGUUAUUGGUGUGAUUUUUGUGUCGAUGGGACUUAUUUGUUUACAUCUUUUAGGAGAAGUUUACAAACUUGAAAAUGCAAGAGAACGAUUAGGUAAAUAUUAUAUAACAGUCUUAAACUGUAAAUCACAUGUUUAAUAACAUAAUAGUAUAUAUAUAUUGUUACCAAAAACUGGCAAGGUAUGAAAUUAUGCUUUUAGU
rnacentral:lncRNA from 1 species